AGAAGUUGAAGUGUGGCUGGAGAUAUACUACUAUGACUGUUGCCAAGGUCCCUCAUUUCCCAAACAAGGACACUGCUGGAGACACCUGAGCAACAAAUACUGAACUGGGAGGAAAUGCUGAUCCCAGCUAAAAGGAUUUCUAGCCUGUCUACGGAAACCUGGUAGAUUGCUUGUUUCAUAAGCCAGGGUCAGAGGUGGAGAAUCUCAGGUCCAGGGGCUGGAUGCUGCCUCCGGCUCCAGCCCCCCAGCCACCCACCCACAGGGCUGGAGCACACAAAAUCUACUAGCCUGGGAUCCGUAGGCUCUGGUGUGCAAGGGGAAUGUGCGGAGUGUCUUUAUCCUUCUCAAACAGAGGCUUCUUAUUUUGCUUCUCACUUGUGUGGGGCCCCAGACCCAAAAAAGGUUUCUGACCCCUUCUCUAA